GACGAACGCUGGCGGCGUGCUUAACACAUGCAAGUCGAACGGAAAGGCGCGGCUUUUGUGGGGUGCACGAGUGGCGAACAGGGGAGUAACACGCGAGUAAACUGCACUUGACAUUGGGAUAAAACCAGGAAAAAGGGGCUAAUACAGGAUAGGAGCUACUGCAGCACGGGGGGGGAUGGAAAGUGUCGGCGGUUGGGGCUGGUCUAGCGGCUCACGAGCUGGUUGGUGGGGUAGUGGCAGACCAAGGUUAUGACGGGUAGCCGGCCUGAGAGCGUGACCGGCCACCUGGGGACUGCGAUACGGCCCAGACUCCUACGUGAGGCAGCAGUGGAGAACCUUGCACAAUGGGCGGACGCCUGAUGCAGCAGCGCCGCGUGCGUGAAGCCGGCCUUCGAGGUGUGAACCGCUUUCUCCGGAGACGAGGCGUGAGUGACGGUAAUGAGUAAAGAAGCACCGGCUAACUACGUG
rnacentral:rRNA from 1 species